CUUCAAUUGCCCUAUCUUCACACCUGAACACUAUUGCUCCGGUAUCCUGCCAUUUUGGAUCAGGGCGGUUGACGGUGGAUUCACUUCCCAUCAGCCCUUGAGGCUGCAGGGACCAGCCCUUUGUACAGUGGAGAAGCCCAGGCGGCCUAGAAUCCAGUGUCGUCCGUGAGUGCUUGGCUGGUGUUCAAGUGCAUCUUCCAGCCUGAGACCGCGUGGACUCGCUCAUCGUGAGGGCGAGAGGAGGAUAAGCCCAUUGGGCUGUCGGCUGAGAGUGAGGUGCGGGGUAAGGGAGUAGAUUUAUAGCUAUAGUGACUAAAAAUAAAAGGAUGUUGGCUUAGGUGGAAAACCUCUCUGCUUUG
rnacentral:lncRNA from 1 species